rnacentral:pre_miRNA from 1 species
ACUCGAACACCGGUUCCGAAACAAUAAAUUGAGUUUGUUCGGACUGGUGUUAGAGACG